GAUCCUGGCUCAGAAUCAACGCUGGCGGCGUGCCUAACACAUGCAAGUCGAACGCGAAAGCCCCGCAAGGGGUAAGUAGAGUGGCAAACGGGUGAGUAACACGUGGGUGAUCUGCCUCAGAGUGGGGGAUAACGACCCGAAAGGGUCGCUAAUACCGCAUAACAUCCUGCCUUUGGAUAGGUGGAGAUCAAAGUUGGGGAUCCGCAAGGACCUGACGCUUGGAGAGGAGCCCGCGGCCGAUUAGCUAGUUGGUGGGGUAAUGGCUCACCAAGGCAACGAUCGGUAUCCGGCCUGAGAGGGCGGACGGACACACUGGGACUGAGACACGGCCCAGACUCCUACGGGAGGCAGCAGUGGGGAAUUGUUCGCAAUGGGCGCAAGCCUGACGACGCAACGCCGCGUGGAGGAUGAAGAAUUUCGGUUCGUAAACUCCUUUCGAUCGGGAAGAACAGCUUUCAGGUUAAUAGCCUGGGAGUCUGACGGUACCGAGAGAAGAAGCCCCGGCUAACUCUGUGCCAGCAGCCGCGGUAAUACAGGGGGGGCAAGCGUUGUUCGGAAUUACUGGGCGUAAAGGGCUCGUAGGCGGCCAACUAAGUCCGACGUGAAAUCCCAAAGCUUAACUUUGGAACUGCGUCGGAUACUGGAUGGCUUGAAUUCGGGAGAGGGAUGCAGAAUUCCAGGUGUAGCGGU
rnacentral:rRNA from 1 species